UACGUAGGGCGCAAGCGUUGUCCGGAAUUAUUGGGCGUAAAGAGCUCGUAGGCGGCUUGUCACGUCGGGUGUGAAAGCCCGGGGCUUAACCCCGGGUCUGCAUUCGAUACGGGCAGGCUAGAGUGUGGUAGGGGAGAUCGGAAUUCCUGGUGUAGCGGUGAAAUGCGCAGAUAUCUGGAGGAACACCGGUGGCGAAGGCGGCAUCCUGGACCAAUACUGACACUGAGGAGCGAAAGCCAGGGGAGCAAACGGG
rnacentral:rRNA from 1 species